rnacentral:pre_miRNA from 1 species
UGGCAGUGAUCGCAAGUUAGCGCCCUGUAACAGCUUAAGCAACAGGGUCUAGCCUGCCUGCC